GUCCAGACUCCUACGGGAGGCAGCAGUGAGGAAUAUUGGUCAAUGGGCUAAGGCCUGAACCAGCCAAGUCGCGUGAGGGAAGACGGUCCUAUGGAUUGUAAACCUCUUUUGUCAGGGAGCAAUUGGCGCUACGUGUAGCGUUAUCGAGAGUACCUGAAGAAAAAGCAUCGGCUAACUCCGUGCCAGCAGCCGCGGUAAUACGGAGGAUGCGAGCGUUAUCCGGAUUUAUUGGGUUUAAAGGGUGCGUAGGCGGAAUGCCAAGUCAGCGGUAAAAUCGGGGGGCUCAACCUCGCUCCGCCGUUGAAACUGGCGUUCUUGAGUGGGCGAGAAGUAUGCGGAAUGCGUGGUGUAGCGGUGAAAUGCAUAGAUAUCACGCAGAACUCCGAUUGCGAAGGCAGCAUACCGGCGCCCAACUGACGCUGAAGCACGAAAGCGUGGGUAUCGAACAGGAUUAGAUACCCCUGUA
rnacentral:rRNA from 1 species